rnacentral:rRNA from 1 species
UACGGGGGGGGCAAGCGUUGUUCGGAAUUACUGGGCGUAAAGGGCUUGUAGGUGGCCAACUAAGUCAGACGUGAAAUCCCUCGGCUUAACCGGGGAACUGCGUCUGAUACUGGAUGGCUUGAGUGUGGGAGAGGGAUGCGGAAUUCCAGGUGUAGCGGUGAAAUGCGUAGAUAUCAGAAGGAACACCGGUGGCGAAGGCGGCUCUCUGGACGGUGACUGACGCUGAGACGCGAAAGCGUGGGGAGCAAACAGG